rnacentral:rRNA from 1 species
CAGUCGCCGCGGUAAUACGAGGGGGGCAAGCGUUGUUCGGAAUUAUUGGGCGUAAAGGGUGCGUAGGCGGUCUGAUAAGUCUUAUGUGAAAUCUAUGGGCUCAACCCAUAGUCUGCAUAGGAAACUGUCAGGCUUGAGGAUGGGAGAGGUGAGUGGAAUUUCCGGUGUAGCGGUGAAAUGCGUAGAUAUCGGAAGGAACACCUGUGGCGAAAGCGGCUCACUGGACCAUUACUGACGCUGAUGCACGAAAGCUAGGGGAGCAAACAGGAUUAGAUACCCCCGUAGUCCCUGUCUCUUAUAC